rnacentral:rRNA from 1 species
UACGGGGGGGGCAAGCGUUGUUCGGAAUUACUGGGCGUAAAGGGCUCGUAGGCGGCCAACUAAGUCAUACGUGAAAUCCCUCGGCUUAACCGGGGAACUGCGUCUGAUACUGGAUGGCUUGAGUUCGGGAGAGGGAUGCGGAAUUCCAGGUGUAGCGGUGAAAUGCGUAGAUAUCUGGAGGAACACCGGUGGCGAAGGCGGCAUCCUGGACCGAUACUGACGCUGAGGAGCGAAAGCCAGGGGAGCAAACGGG